rnacentral:tRNA from 1 species
AGAAAUAUUUUAAAAUAAGCUUCUAACUUAUUAUUUAAGCAAUGUUUAUUGUUUAUAUUUC